UGGGGAAUAUUGCACAAUGGGGGAAACCCUGAUGCAGCGACGCCGCGUGAACGAAGAAGGUAUUCGUAUCGUAAAGUUCUGUCCUAUGGGAAGAUAAUGACAGUACCAUAGAAGAAAGCUCCGGCUAAAUACGUGCCAGCAGCCGCGGUAAUACGUAUGGAGCGAGCGUUGUCCGGAAUUAUUGGGCGUAAAGGGUACGCAGGCGGUUUAAUAAGUCGAAUGUUAAAGAUCGGGGCUCAACCCCGCAAAGCAUUGGAAACUGAUAAACAUGGGUAGUGGAGGAGAAAGUUGAAUUCCUAGUGUAGUGGUGAAAUACGUAGAUAUUAGGACGAAUACCAGUAGCGAAGGCGACUUUCUGGACACAAACUGACGCUGAGGUACGAAAGCGUGGGGAGCAAACAGG
rnacentral:rRNA from 1 species